rnacentral:rRNA from 1 species
CGAACGAUGAAGCCCAGCUUGCUGGGUGGAUUAGUGGCGAACGGGUGAGUAACACGUGAGUAACCUGCCCUUGACUCUGGGAUAGCACUGGAAACGGUGUCUAAUACCGGAUAUUUCAGCUGGCCGCAUGGUCUGGUUGUGGAAAGAAUUUUGGUCAAGGAUGGACUCGCGGCCUAUCAGGUAGUUGGUGAGGUAAUGGCUCACCAAGCCUACGACGGGUAGCCGGCCUGAGAGGGUGACCGGCCACACUGGGACUGAGACACGGCCCAGACUCCUACGGGAGGCAGCAGUGGGGAAUAUUGCACAAUGGGCGAAAGCCUGAUGCAGCAACGCCGCGUGAGGGACGACGGCCUUCGGGUUGUAAACCUCUUUUAGUAGGGAAGAAGCGAAAGUGACGGUACCUGCAGAAAAAGCACCGGCUAACUACGUGCCAGCAGCCGCGGUAAUACGUAGGGUGCAAGCGUUGUCCGGAAUUAUUGGGCGUAAAGAGCUCGUAGGCGGUUUGUCGCGUCUGCUGUGAAAACUGGAGGCUCAACCUCCAGCCUGCAGUGGGUACGGGCAGACUAGAGUGCGGUAGGGGAGAUUGGAAUUCCUGGUGUAGCGGUGGAAUGCGCAGAUAUCAGGAGGAACACCGAUGGCGAAGGCAGAUCUCUGGGCCGUAACUGACGCUGAGGAGCGAAAGCAUGGGGAGCGAACAGGAUUAGAUACCCUGGUAGUCCAUGCCGUAAACGUUGGGAACUAGAUGUGGGGGCCAUUCCACGGUCUCCGU